GACGAACGCUGGCGGCGUGCUUAACACAUGCAAGUCGAACGGUAAGGCCCUUCGGGGUACACGAGUGGCGAACGGGUGAGUAACACGUGGGUGAUCUGCCCUGCACUUCGGGAUAAGCCUGGGAAACUGGGUCUAAUACCGGAUAGGACCACUGCCUGCAUGGGUGGUGGUGGAAAGCUUUUGCGGUGUGGGAUGGGCCCGCGGCCUAUCAGCUUGUUGGUGGGGUGAUGGCCUACCAAGGCGACGACGGGUAGCCGGCCUGAGAGGGUGACCGGCCACACCGGGACUGAGAUACGGCCCAGGCUCCUACGGGAGGCAGCAGUGGGGAAUAUUGCACAAUGGGCGCAAGCCUGAUGCAGCGACGCCGCGUGAGGGAUGACGGCCUUCGGGUUGUAAACCUCUUUCAGCACCGACGAAGCGCAAGUGACGGUAGGUGCAAAAGAAGGACCGGCCAACUACGUGCCAGCCGCCGCCGUAA
rnacentral:rRNA from 1 species